GUGGGGAAUAUUGGACAAUGGGCGAAAGCCUGAUCCAGCCAUGCCGCGUGAGUGAUGAAGGCCUUAGGGUUGUAAAGCUCUUUCAGUAGGGAAGAUAAUGACGGUACCUACAGAAGAAGCCCCGGCUAACUUCGUGCCAGCAGCCGCGGUAAUACGAAGGGGGCUAGCGUUGUUCGGAUUUACUGGGCGUAAAGCGCACGUAGGCGGAUUGGUCAGUUAGAGGUGAAAUCCUGGAGCUCAACUCCAGAACUGCCUUUAAUACUGCCAGUCUAGAGUCCAGAAGAGGUGAGUGGAACUCCGAGUGUAGAGGUGGAAUUCGUAGAUAUUAGGAAGAACACCAGUGGCGAAGGCGGCUCACUGGUCUGGUACUGACGCUGAGGUGCGAAAGCGUGGGGAGCAAACAGGAUUAGAAACCCGUGUAGUCC
rnacentral:rRNA from 1 species